rnacentral:rRNA from 1 species
AGUGAACGCUGGCGGUAGGCCUAACACAUGCAAGUCGAACGGCAGCACAGUAAGAGCUUGCUCUUACGGGUGGCGAGUGGCGGACGGGUGAGGAAUACAUCGGAAUCUACUUUUUCGUGGGGGAUAACGUAGGGAAACUUACGCUAAUACCGCAUACGACCUACGGGUGAAAGCAGGGGAUCUUCGGACCUUGCGCGAUUGAAUGAGCCGAUGUCGGAUUGGCUAGUUGGCGGGGUAAAGGCCCACCAAGGCGACGAUCCGUAGCUGGUCUGAGAGGAUGAUCAGCCACACUGGAACUGAGACACGGUCCAGACUCCUACGGGGGGCAGCAGUGGGGAAUAUUGGACAAUGGGCGCAAGCCUGAUCCAGCCAUACCGCGUGGGUGAAGAAGGCCUUCGGGUUGUAAAGCCCUUUUGUUGGGAAAGAAAAGCAGCAGGUUAAUACCCCGCUGUUCUGACGGUACCCAAAGAAUAAGCACCGGCUAACUUCGUG